CCUACGGGGUGCUGCAGUGGGGAAUAUUGGACAAUGGGCGAAAGCCUGAUCCAGCCAUGCCGCGUGUGUGAAGAAGGCCUUCGGGUUGUAAAGCACUUUCAGUGGGGAAGAAAGCCUUGGGGCUAAUACCCUCGAGGAAGGACAUCACCCACAGAAGAAGCACCGGCUAACUCCGUGCCAGCAGCCGCGGUAAUACGGAGGGUGCGAGCGUUAAUCGGAAUUACUGGGCGUAAAGCGCGCGUAGGCGGUCUGAUAAGCCGGUUGUGAAAGCCCUGGGCUCAACCUGGGAACGGCAUCCGGAACUGUCAGGCUAGAGUGCAGGAGAGGAAGGUAGAAUUCCCGGUGUAGCGGUGAAAUGCGUAGAGAUCGGGAGGAAUACCAGUGGCGAAGGCGGCCUUCUGGACUGACACUGACGCUGAGGUGCGAAAGCGUGGGUAGCAAACAGGAUUAGAUACCCUGGUAGUC
rnacentral:rRNA from 1 species